rnacentral:RNase_P_RNA from 1 species
UGAGUGGGCCAGGCGAUCGCGGCGGCACUCGUUGAGGCGUCGUCGAGGAAAGUCCGGGCUCCAGAGGACAAGGGUGGUCGGUAACUCCGACCGGCCGUGAGGCCAGGGAAAGUGCAACAGAAAAUACACCGCCGAUGGCCGAGGUUUCCUCGGAACAGGUAAGGGUGAAAUGGUGCGGUAAGAGCGCACCGGUGGCCGGGGUGACUCGGUCGCCUGGUAAACCCCACCCGGAGCAAGGCCAAGCAGAAGGAAGUCGUGGUUCGCCGCGGCACGAGUCGGUCCGGCUCGUUGCACCUUCGGGUAGGCUGCUUGAGAGGCCGGGCAACCGUCCUCCCAGAGAAAUGAUCGCCCCCGACAAGACCCGGCUUACAGGCCCACUCAGGUU